rnacentral:rRNA from 1 species
AUGCACGCUGGCGGCGUGCCUCAUCCCUGCCAGUCGAGCGCACAGGCGAGGAGCUUGCUCCUCUGACGUUAGCGGCGGACGGGUGAGUAACACGUGGAUAACCUACCUAUAAGACUGGGAUAACUUCGGGAAACCGGAGCUAAUACCGGAUAAUAUAUUGAACCGCAUGGUUCAAUAGUGAAAGACGGUUUUGCUGUCACUUAUAGAUGGAUCCGCGCCGCAUUAGCUAGUUGGUAAGGUAACGGCUUACCAAGGCGACGAUGCGUAGCCGACCUGAGAGGGUGAUCGGCCACACUGGAACUGAGACACGGUCCAGACUCCUACGGGAGGCAGCAGUAGGGAAUCUUCCGCAAUGGGCGAAAGCUUGACGGAGCAACGCCGCGUGAGUGAUGAAGGUCUUCGGAUCGUAAAACUCUGUUAUUAGGGAAGAACAAAUGUGUAAGUAACUAUGCACGUCUUGACGGUACCUAAUCAGAAAGCCACGGCUAACUACGUG